rnacentral:rRNA from 1 species
CCUACGGGUGGCAGCAGUGAGGAAUAUUGGUCAAUGGACGCAAGUCUGAACCAGCCAAGCCGCGUGCAGGAAGACGGCUCUAUGAGUUGUAAACUUCUUUUGUACGAGGGUAAACUCAGAUACGCGUAUCUGUCUGAAAGUAUCGUACGAAUAAGGAUCGGCUAACUCCGUGCCAGCAGCCGCGGUAAUACGGAGGAUUCGAGCGUUAUCCGGAUUUAUUGGGUUUAAAGGGUGCGUAGGCGGUCGGAUAAGUUAGAGGUGAAAGUCGGAGGCUCAACUGCGGAAUUGCCUUUGAUACUGUUAGGCUAGAGAGCAGUUGCGGUAGGCGGAAUGUAUGGUGUAGCGGUGAAAUGCUUAGAGAUCAUACAGAACUCCGAUUGCGAAGGCAGCUUACCAAGCUACUUCUGACGUUGAGGCACGAAAGCGUGGGGAGCAAACAGGAUUAGAUACCCUAGUAGUC